rnacentral:rRNA from 1 species
UACGUAGGGUGCAAGCGUUGUCCGGAAUUAUUGGGCGUAAAGAGCUCGUAGGCGGUUUGUUGCGUCGGCUGUGAAAUCCCGAGGCUCAACCUCGGGUCUGCAGUCGAUACGAGCAAACUAGAGUGUUGCAGGGGAGACUGGAAUUCCUGGUGUAGCGGUGAAAUGCGCAGAUAUCGGGAGGAACACCAGUAGCGAAGGCGGCACUCUGGGCCGUGACGUGACGCUGAGGAGCGAAAGCGUGG